rnacentral:rRNA from 1 species
CCUACGGGGGGCAGCAGUGAGGAAUAUUGGUCAAUGGACGAGAGUCUGAACCAGCCAAGUAGCGUGAAGGAUGACUGCCCUAUGGGUUGUAAACUUCUUUUAUAUGGGAAUAAAAUGUUCCACGUGUGGGAUUUUGUAUGUACCAUAUGAAUAAGGAUCGGCUAACUCCGUGCCAGCAGCCGCGGUAAUACGGAGGAUCCGAGCGUUAUCCGGAUUUAUUGGGUUUAAAGGGAGCGUAGGUGGAUUGUUAAGUCAGUUGUGAAAGUUUGCGGCUCAACCGUAAAAUUGCAGUUGAAACUGGCAGUCUUGAGUACAGUAGAGGUGGGCGGAAUUCGUAGUGUAGCGGUGAAAUGCUUAGAUAUCACGAAGAACUCCGAUUGCGAAGGCAGUUCACUGGACUGCAACUGACACUGAGGCUCGAAAGUGUGGGUAUCAAACAGGAUUAGAUACCCCUGUAGUC